rnacentral:lncRNA from 1 species
CACAUUGGUAGAAGCAACUCAACCUUUUGUGUUGAAGCAUUUAAAGCAUCUCAUUUGACCUUUGGUUUUGGAAACACCAAAUUUCUUUGGACUUUAAGAGGGAGGAUGGUCUUGGCUUGUUGGAGAGGGUAUGCCACGUUUUUUUUUUACGGUAGAAAGGUAGAAGGAAGCAUUUUCUUGGAGAAUGAGGCACAUGGGACAAAAAGAGAGCAUAUUCAAUUGUUUAUUGAAGAAAGAAGACAAAUUUGGAUGUGGUGCAAGGAACCUCACGGCCAAGAGGUGUUUUUAGGCCAUUUGCAUUUUUAAUUUUAUUUGGUUGGAUGUAUUUGGUCACAUGAAUGUGUAGGAAAAAGCAUGUUUGAUUAUUCCUUAUUUGAAUUAGUUUAAUUAGUAGGAUUAGUUGCUUUUGAUUUCUUUAAUUUAGUUUUGCAUUUAAUUUAAUUUAACUGUGUUGGGUAGUGUUUUGUUGUCUUGUUGGGGUCUAGUAUUUUAUUUUAUUUUGUUUGAAUGUUGUCUAAGGUUUUUAAUAGUGUUAGUUUAAUUACCACGCUAGCUUAAAUUAGUUUGUUUGCAUCUGUGUUAUAUUGAGUUCUUUAAUUUUUUCAAAACCAUUUUCACAACCCCCC